UGGGCCUAUUGGGGUCAAGUAGGAAGCCCAGCAAGUUCCAAAAGUAGAAAAAAAGUUUUGCGAGAUCCCGCAAAACUUUGCAAGAUCCC